CCUACGGGAGGCAGCAGUGAGGAAUAUUGGUCAAUGGACGAGAGUCUGAACCAGCCAAGUAGCGUGAAGGAUGACUGCCCUAUGGGUUGUAAACUUCUUUUAUAUGGGAAUAAAACGUUCCACGUGUGGGCUUUUGUAUGUACCAUAUGAAUAAGGAUCGGCUAACUCCGUGCCAGCAGCCGCGGUAAUACGGAGGAUCCGAGCGUUAUCCGGAUUUAUUGGGUUUAAAGGGAGAGUAGGUGGAUUGUUAAGUCAGUUGUGAAAGUUUGGGGCUCAACCGUAAAAUUGCAGUUGAAACUGGCAGUCUUGAGUACAGUAGAGGUGGGCGGAAUUCGUGGUGUAGCGGUGAAAUGCUUAGAUAUCACGAAGAACUCCGAUUGCGAAGGCAGCUCACUGGACUGCAGCUGACACUGAGGCUCGAAAGUGUGGGUAUCAAACAGGAUUAGAUACCCUUGUAGUC
rnacentral:rRNA from 1 species